AUGGUGAAAUUUUUCUGGAGUAGUUCUCUUGACAAACGUUCAAUGCAUUGGGUUUCUUGGAAGGAACUUUCAAAGCCCAAGUGUAAAGGUGGGAUGGGUUUCAGAGACCCGCAUAUGUUUAAUCUUGGCAUGUUGGGGAAGCAUGGAUGGCGUUUUUUGACGAAUCCUAACUCCCUAUGUGCAAGAUUUUUGAAGGGGCGUUAUUUUCCUGACACUGAUUUCAUGCAUGCUGCUUUACCUAAGUCGGCCUCAGCCACUUGGAAGGCCAUUAUAGCAGGAAGAGAAGCCCUAGGAUGUGGUUUGAUCUCCCGCGUUGGAGAUGGUACCACCAUCAAUGUCUGCACUGAUAAAUGGAUUCCAAGCACUAUAUCCAUGUCACCUAUAUCGAGACCACAGAACACUGCUAUCUAG
rnacentral:rRNA from 1 species